rnacentral:rRNA from 1 species
UACAGAGGUCCCAAGCGUUGUUCGGAUUCAUUGGGGCGUAAAGGGUGCGUAGGCGGCGCGGUAAGUCGGGUGUGAAAUCUCGGAGCUUAACUCCGAAACUGCAUUCGAUACUGCCGUGCUUGAGGACUGGAGAGGAGACUGGAAUUUACGGUGUAGCGGUGAAAUGCGUAGAUAUCGUAAGGAAGACCAGUGGCGAAGGCGGGUCUCUGGACAGUUCCUGACGCUGAGGCACGAAGGCCAGGGGAGCAAACGGG